GUGAGUAACACGUAGGUAAUCUGCCGUAGAGUGGGGGAUAACCCAUGGAAACAUGGACUAAUACCGCAUAUACUCUUGACGCUAAAGCGUAGUAGAGGAAAGGAGCAAUCCGCUUUACGAUGAGCCUGCGGCCUAUUAGCCUGUUGGUGAGAUAAAAGCCCACCAAAGCUACGAUAGGUAGCCGACCUGAGAGGGUGACCGGCCACAUUGGGACUGAGAUACGGCCCAGACUCCUACGGGAGGCAGCAGCUGAGAAUCUUCCACAAUGGACGAAAGUCUGAUGGAGCGACAUCGCGUGAGGGAUGAAGGCCUUCGGGUUGUAAACCUUGGAAAUUAUCGAAGAAUGAGUGACAGUAGAUAAUGUAAGCCUCGGCUAACUACGUGCCAGCAGCCGCGGUAAUACGUAGGAGGCAAACGUUGCUCGGAUUUACUGGGCGUAAAGGGUGAGUAGGCGGAACUAUAAGUCUAAGGUGAAAUAUCGAAGCUCAACUUCGGAGACGCCUUGGAUACUGUGGUU
rnacentral:rRNA from 1 species